GAUGGCUUGAAGAGCCCAUGGGCAAGAGCUCUGAGCAUUUGGCUAGAAGUCUUCAGGAGUCUUCUUGGCACCCAGCCUCAGGGUUGGCUGCUUCUCUCUCCCGCUGACCUUCUGGAAAGAAAGGACUGUACACACGGCUUCUCUGACCUCUGGUGAGGCAGCGUCUGUUGUACCUGAUCCAGAUCCCUCUGUGUGUCUGCUGCCUCUUCCUCCUUACCUUAAGUUUCCUGGGUUUCAGUCUUGCUACUUCAUAGCACCAGUUGUAGGCACUUGUAGCCACUGAGCACUUGAAAUGUGACUAGUCCAAACCUAGAUGUGCUUCAAGAGCAAAAUACAUUCCUGAUUUUAAAGAUUUAGUGAAAAAAAAAAAAAAAAGAAAAGAGAACCUAACAUCCCAAUAAUUAUUUUUUUU